AUUGAACGCUGGCGGCAGGCCUAACACAUGCAAGUCGAGCGGAAGAAGGGAGCUUGCUCCUGGACUCAGCGGGGGACGGGUGAGUAAUGCUUAGGAAUGUGCAUGGUAGUGGGGGACAACGUUUCGAAAGGAACGCUAAUACCGCUUACGUACUACGGGAGAAAGCAAGAGACCUUCGGGCCUUGCGCUAUCAGAUGAGCCUAGGUGGGAUUAGCUAGUUGGUGAGGUAAGGGCCCACCAAGGCGACGAUCCGUAACUGUUCUGAGAGGAUGAUCAGUCACACUGGAACUGAGACACGGUCCAGACUCCUACGGGAGGCAGCAGUGGGGAAUAUUGGACAAUGGGCGAAAGCCUGAUCCAGCCAUGCCGCGUGUAUGAAGAAGGUCUUCGGAUUGUAAAGCACUUUCAGUUGGGAGGAAGGGUUGUAGAUUAAUACUCUGCAAUUUUGACGUUACCGACAGAAUAAGCACCGGCUAACUCUGUGCCAGCCGCCGCCGUAAAAC
rnacentral:rRNA from 1 species